GCACCGAAGCUGCGGCAGCGACGCUUAGGCGUUGUUGGGUAGGGGAGCGUUCUGUAAGCCGUUGAAGGUGACCUGUGAGGGUU
rnacentral:rRNA from 1 species